rnacentral:rRNA from 1 species
AACGUAGGAGACAAACGUUAUCCGGAGUUACUGGGCGUAAAGGGCGUGUAGGUGGUUUCGUAAGUCUGGCGUGAAAUUUUUCGGCUUAACCGGGAAAGGUCGUCGGAUACUGCGGAGCUAGAGGACGGUAGGGGCGUGUGGAAUUCCCGGUGUAGUGGUGAAAUGCGUAGAUAUCGGGAGGAACACCAGUGGCGAAGGCGACUCUUUGGUCUGUAACUGACGCUGAGGCGCGAAAGCGUGGGGAGCAAACAGG